ACAGGCAAGGGAAUUCUGGGAAACGUAGUUCCCGCUUAGCUGGGUUGACAUGGUACAAAGCCACAUUACCACGCUAAGUGUGGCUUUGAUUUUUAGAAACCGCCUCAUGCUAAGUCUAGGGAAUACAGUGGUUGAAUGGGGUGAGCGCUGACCUUUAGCUAUUCUGGAGGAACAUGUCACUUUCACUUAUUUUCUUUCAUGUUUUCCCACCCAGUGCUAUGGACUCUGAUCGCCCAACCAGAGCAAACCCAGAAGGACAACUCUCCAAGCCUUUCAAUCACUCCCACUAACCCGUAGUGUGGACACACUAUUGUGAGGCCUACUAAGGAUGUACUGCUGAUGACCUUUUGAAGGCCAGUGGACCUGCUCUGCAGACCCAGGCUCCUCUCCCAUGGAGCAUCCCAAGUCUGUCCUUAUGGGAAGAAGCAGGAGCCCUGUCUGGCUGUACCCCAAGCUGCUUUCUCUGGACCAAUGCUGUCAGCGAUAGAGCAAACAAGCCAAACAGCAGCUUGAAAAAUGCUUUCUACUUGGACAUACCCUCUUGCUACAGGGAACCCUUCCACCAUCAUGUGAAGAAGCCUGGUCUAGCCUGCUGGAGGAUGAGAGAUCACAUGGAAUGAGGCCACAAUCGUUCCAGCCAAAGCCCCAGUAAUAGAAUUAAGAUCAUCCAAGACCAUGGCAUCCCGCCUGAGAAGUUCAGAUAAGAAGGGCCACCUGAACAACCAACAGAAUCUUAAAAAGUAAAAAAUGAGUGUUACCACUAUGCAUCUAUUAGAAUGGCAGAAAUCGAAGACACUGACAACAACAAAUGCUGGUGAGGAUGUGGAGCAACAGGAACUCUCACUCACUGAAGAUGGAAAUGCAAAAUAGUGCAGCUACUUUGGAAAACAGCUACUUUGGCUGUUUCUUACAACACUAAAUAUGCUAUUAUUAUAUGAUCCAGAAGUUUUGCUCCUUAGCACUUACCCAAAAAAGUUGAAAACUUAUGUACACACAAAAACCUGCACAUGGAUAUUCACAGCAGUUUUUGAUAUGGUUUGGCUCUGUGUCCCCACAGAAAUCUCAUCUUGUAUUUGUAUAAAUUUAUGGUGUACAAGUGUAAUUUUGUUAGCAUGCAUAGACAUGCAUAGACUGCAUAGCUCCCAUAAUUCCCACAUGUUGUGGGAGGGACCAGGUGGGAGGUGAUUGAAUCAUAGGGGCAGGUCUUUCCUGUCUUGUUCUUGUGAUAGUGAGUGGGUCUCACAAGAUCUGAUGGUUUUAAAUAACAGGAAUUUAUCUGCACAAGCUCUUUUAUUUUGCCUGCUGCCAUCCACAUAAGAUGUGACUUGCUCCUCCUUGCCUUCUACCAUGAUUGUGAGGCCUCCCCAGCCAUGUGGAACUGUAAAUCCAAUUAAAUCUCUUUCUUUUGUAAAUUGCC